UACAGAGGUCCCGAGCGUUUAGUUCGGAUUCAUUGGGCGUAAAGGGUGCGCAGGUGGCGGGGUUAAGUCUGAUGUGAAAUCCCGGGGCUCCGAACUCCGGAACUGGCAUUGGAUACUGCUCUGCAUUGAGUACUGGAGAGGAGACGGUGGAAUUUACGGUGUAGCAGUGAAAUGCGUAGAGAUCGUAAGGAAGACCAGUGGCGAAGGCGACGUUCCUGGACAGUUACUGACACUGAGGC
rnacentral:rRNA from 1 species